rnacentral:rRNA from 1 species
UACGAAGGGGGCUAGCGUUGUUCGGAAUUACUGGGCGUAAAGCGCACGUAGGCGGACUAUUAAGUCAGGGGUGAAAUCCCGGGGCUCAACCCCGGAACUGCCUUUGAUACUGGUAGUCUCGAGUCCGGAAGAGGUGAGUGGAAUUCCGAGUGUAGAGGUGAAAUUCGUAGAUAUUCGGAAGAACACCAGUGGCGAAGGCGGCUCACUGGCCCGGUACUGACGCUGAUGUGCGAAAGCGUGGGGAGCAAACAGG